rnacentral:rRNA from 1 species
UCUGGCGGCAGUAGCGCGGUGGUCCCACCUGACCCCUUGCCGAACUCAGAAGUGAAACGCCGUAGCGCCGAUGGUAGUGUGGGGUCUCCCCAUGCGAGAGUAGGGAACUGCCAGGC